UCCGGUCAAUGGAACGGGUUAUGUACGUCAUGUUGAUAAUCCAAAUGGAGACGGAAGACGUGUGAAAUGUAUUACAUUACGUUAAAGAACGGGAUGCCAAGCCCUGCCUGAUGUGGCUCUGGGAAUUCCUGCAGAGAAGAGCAGGGGUGGCCAGGAGAUAGUGAGCAGCUCCCAGGAGCUAGUGACACCUGGUGAUUCGGCUGUGUAUAUCUCCUAGGAGGCAUGGAGGGAUCCAGAACCUGGACUGAAGAACCACCUAGAAAUAACUCAGCAGAAUUCUGAAAAUGAGGUCACGCUGGAUUUUCCAAUCCAUAGGCCCAAAGUGAACUCCCACGUGGAGUAGGAUGAAAACCC
ensembl:lncRNA novel transcript